AUUGAACGCUGGCGGCAUGCCUUACACAUGCAAGUCGAACGGCAGCACGGGAGCAACCCUGGUGGCGAGUGGCGAACGGGUGAGUAAUACAUCGGAACGUGCCCAGUCGUGGGGGAUAACGUAGCGAAAGUUACACUAAUACCGCAUACGAUCUACGGAUGAAAGCGGGGGACCGUAAGGCCUCGCGCGAUUGGAGCGGCCGAUGUCAGAUUAGGUAGUUGGUGAGGUAAAGGCUCACCAAGCCGACGAUCUGUAGCUGGUCUGAGAGGACGACCAGCCACACUGGGACUGAGACACGGCCCAGACUCCUACGGGAGGCAGCAGUGGGGAAUUUUGGACAAUGGGCGCAAGCCUGAUCCAGCCAUUCCGCGUGCAGGACGAAGGCCUUCGGGUUGUAAACUGCUUUUGUACGGAACGAAAAGGCUCUGGUUAAUACCUGGGGCUCAUGACGGUACCGUAAGAAUAAGCACCGGCUAACUACGUGCCAGCCGCCGCAGUAA
rnacentral:rRNA from 1 species